UAUCCAGCAACAAAUGGGAUGCAUGAUGAAGAGGAAGCCGAGAUAGGUAUGCCAUUAUAAUAUAUUUCGACGAUUACUGUAUCCGUUGCUCAUGAUUUCAAAAUAGUCCUACCAGUAAUCCGGCUCCCGAAUAUUUCCUUCUCAUCACCUUGUUCUCGAUUUAUUAUUUUCCCAGUCUGUUUAGCCAUAUAGGCCAUGUAAUGUGAUUUCUGUUGUAAGUUUUGUACCAUCUUCAUCUUUUUUCAGUUGCCCCACCCAGUAGCUUAGCUUUAUGUAAUUUCUCUCUUUGGUGUAUAAAAGAGACUUUUUCCUUUUAAUGCUAAAACCUAACCUAGCUGUUAUAUAUAUUUUUGAUAAUCUCAUUAUAAGUUUUGGUCAUAUUUAUUUUUUUGAUACAAUACUUAGAACUACUCAUAGCUUCUCUCUAACCCAUAAAUAAGAGGAUAAUGCGCUUCAGCGUACUCGAACUUAUGUCCUCUUACAUUGGUAACAAUAUCUAUGUCAAUCGAGUUAAAACUCAAUCGGCUAACUUAGUUGUUCUUUGCUUGCCUUCACUUUUGACUAUACUGCUUGGUUUCAGUUGUAAACAGGAAUCAUAAAGCUUAGCUCGGUUUUCGAUCAUAAACCAGAAUAGCAAUGCUUAUGUUUCAUUCAGUGUGUUUCGGUCAUUUGUGUUUGAAUUCAUUUCGGUUAAUACAAGUGGGUGUAAGCUUAUAUUAGUUGGAAUAAGAUUUUGAUAUUUUAAAUAUAAUUUUAUUAAAUAAACUAGAAAUCAGAUCAUAAUAUAUAUAUUUUUAAAAAUACCGAUAGGUCUGAAACCCUAUACUAAACACAGUUAUAAGAAUGGAACCCAUAGCCAUCCUAGAUUCAAACUCAAGCUCAAUUAAAUUCGCUAAAAUGAGAUUAAUUUUCACUCUCAACAUCAUAUUCAGAUAUUUAUGAUAAGUUUGAGUUUAAAAUUGAAAUUUUUUAAUACUAAAUGUAUAUUAAAAGAAACUCAAUUUAGAGUUUGUCAAUCAAAUAUUUUGAUUUAGAUAUUUGAAUUAGGAUUUAGGAUUUAUAAGUUAAGUUAUUUGAGUUUGAGUAAAAAUCUCUUUUCAACUUGAAUACAAAUAAUUUAUUUGCAAAAAUGUGAGAGGAGUGGCUUGACCACCAAUAUUUUCCUUCCAUUCACACAACAUGAAAUUGUUUCUGUAAUAAAAAUAAAUUUUAGCAGCAUUAUUAUAUAGUAAAAGAGUUUGAGUGCAAGUAAGGUUUUAGAUUGGAAUAUUGUAGAUGGAGAAAAUAAUAUGGAGAGUUUUGCCUCUAUUUAGAUAUUCAACUUGAUUCUAAAUCAACUUGAUUGAACUUUAAAUUAGGUUUCAAUGUGAUUAUCGAAUAUUAAAAGAUCUCGUAUAAAAAAAAGAGAGCAAAGAGAUUCUUUGAAGAAUCCAUGUUAUCUAAACUCAAGAUUUUAUAGAAAAAAAAACAAAAUUGGACAUGAUUUUAAUAUGUAAUUUAAAAUUAUUUAUAGAUUAAUAUUUAAUUUUAUUGAUACAAGUGUCAACAAAGAAGGAGAUAAGGAGGAGAAGGUGGUGGUGUAAAGAGUGCUACUUCACCUAGACACGCGGAGAGUCGGAGAAAGUAGAUAAGGUAGGGAGGUUAAGAGGGUUGAGUGUUGAGAGUAUGCAGGGUUGCUUAACGGCUAAAAGUUCGACCACUUCUUUAUUGUUGUAAAAGGCAUGUAUAGGGAAAGAGUGCUUGUUUUCAAUUAGAACAGGUCAUUAACAAAUCUAGGAUAUGGUGAUCAUGUGGCCGACCAAGUGGUAAGAUCAUUGUACGUGGCAUGUCCUCAUACAUGAUACUGCUCUGACAUUCUCUUGGCUAAAAUAAUACAAGGUUGCCAGAGUUUGAACUAUAAAUUAAUAUCGUAAAAGGUUUAAGCAAGACAAGUUAUUUUUUAAUGUUGUUAACUAUUUUGAUUAAAAUAUUUAUAUGAAUUUUUUGUAAGGAAGAACAUUUUCAACAAGAAAAUAUUAAUGCGAGCAUGUAAGUUUAAAUAAUUGUUUUUACGAAAAAAAAUUGUAUUAAUAUUUUAAUUAAAAUAGUUAAUAAUGUUGAUUAUUUGGAUUAACAGAUAAUAAUAUAAAAAUAUAGAGACCAAAUCCAAUCAAUCUAAAAUACAAAGACUAUUUUAGCUUUUAAAAAAAAUGGACUAAAUUCAGAAAUUAAGCAUUAUAUAGGGACUGAAGCUAGAAUUCGACCUAUUAUGUUUGCGGUCGUAUUUAUAUUGCAUGUACGGUUUCCUAAAGCAGGAAUUUUCGUCGACUCAUUUGGUCUAGUACCAGCUAGGUGUUUCUCUUGGGCUCAUAUGGCCGAUGUUCCCCAAGUGCCUACACUCAGCAUCCCGGUGGUGAAACUGAGCUCCUCCUCCGGCGGCCGGAACAUGCCGGUGAUCUGAAUGGGCACGGCGGCCGAUCCAUUUGAUGAAACUGCUUUGAAAGAGGCGAUUCUGGAGGCUAUCAGUGUCGGUUACCGUCACUUCGACGCUGCAUCGCUUUACAAAUCGGAGAAGCCAUUGGGAGAAGCUAUAGCAGAAGCGAUAAAGUUCGGUUUUAUCGCAUCUCGCGAUGAACUUUUCAUUACUUCCAAGCUAUGGUGCACUGAUGCUCAUCCCGAUCUUGUUCUUCCCGCUCUCAAAAAUUCUCUCAGGUAAAAAGAAUAUCUUAAUUUGCCAUUUGAUUCCCUUAAUCAAAAGAAUUAAAGAUUAAAUUAGCUCCAUCACUGUAAACUUAGCUCUUUUAUAUACACACAGAUCAAGCAGUUAAUUAAGGGAGAAAAAUUCAAAAUUUCAGAUUUGAGUUCUUGAAAAGUUCAAAUCACAUUCAAUUUGGUUAUUUUUAGGUUUAAGUUACGGCAGCUUGCAUGAUUUGAAUUAAGUAAUUUUUAAUUCUUGAUUCGAGUGACUCUCAAACACUUCAUUUCAGUGUACUUAAGCAUUUUUAUUUUAAAUUGAUUUUGAAAUAUUGAUUAUUUUAAUUCGAUAUCAAUCUUAGAUAAUUGAGUUUGUAAUUGAGCACGAGAAUUAUAUUUAUUUUUUUACUUGAUAAUGGAGUUCUAAUUAAAUAAGAUCAAUUUUUAUCUUGAAUUGAGCUUGUGCUUUGAUAUUAAUAAUCAAUUUAUAUCUAUAUCAUAAUAAAAUUACGAACCUAUAUAUCUAUGGAUUAAUAAUACUCUAUAUAGAUAAAUAAUAAUCUAUAUAACAAAGUAAAAAAGGGCUUUUUUCAAGCCUCUCUUUUUGCGUGCUAUAACAUAGUAAUUAUCCUUUUCUCAAUUAGGAGAGAUGGCUGAGUGUAAUAAAGCAUUGGAUUGCUAACCUGUUGUGCGAGUUAUUCGUACCGAGGGUUCAAAUCCCUCUCUUUCCGUUUCGGUUUUUGGUAGUGGAAUAGAUCAAAUCCUAAUACCAUUUCUAAAAAUGAAGCAAGGAACUCUCCCUUUCUUAUUCUUUGCGUCCAGGAUUACGUCCCGGAGCACUAGAUAGGAAUCUGAAGAUGAAGAGAGAAACAAAUAAUAUUACUAGGGUGUAAACAAAGAGUUUAAGAGUGAGCAUUUUUUGGAAAAAGAAGAGAAUAAAUUCCCCCUUUUUAUACAACAUAUCCAAGAGCAAGCGAUUUGUUUCCUACAUUUAUAGAGCCUUUUUGUAGUUAGGGAAUUAGAAGCAAGGUUGUUUGAAUCUGACUCUUAGAUCAGGAAUCGGUUGUUGUAUCUGUUUGAAGAAGGGCAUUGAACCGGUUAAUCUAGGAAUCGGUAUGAACCGGUUGAACUUGGCAGAAAAUGGUUGAACCGGAUUUUUAAUAUAUUUAUUUUUAUGAUUUUUUUAAUGAUUUAUUUCCUCAAACGAGGCAAACCUAUCGGAUCGGUAGGAAUGGCAAACCGGUGUUCUGACUAGUUCGACCACUAUCUAGUUCUGAAACUUUGAUUGGAAGUGAUAAUGAUUUGAUUCGGAAUUAGGGGAUUAGAAGUGUUAACGGUUUGUUUCAGUUUGGUUUUGAAAAUAUUUAUGAUUAAUAUGCAAUAAUUUAAUAAAAACAGAACAUAAGCAAAAUCUGAUUUUCGAUUUUCUUCUCAUCUCUAAUGGUUUAUACAAAGGGUAUAUAUGCAGGAUGCUUCAGUUGGAAUACUUGGACCUUUAUCUCAUUCACUGGCCUCUAAGUGCUAAACCUGGGAAAAUUGAAUUCCCUGUGCCCAAAGAUGAACAACUAGCUAUGGAUUUCAACUCUGUGUGGGCAGCCAUGGAAGAUUGCCUGAGGUUUGGCCUCACAAAAUCCAUUGGAGUCGGUAACUUCUCAUGCAAGAAACUUGAAAACAUACUAUCCUUUGCUACCAUUCCUCCAUCAGUCAAUCAAGUAAGCUUUCUCAUUCCCUUCUAAUCCUUUUAUUAUUUUCGGAUAAAUCUUAGAAUGACAUUCAAGGUUUGUUUGAAUGUGCAAUAUACUAUUAGAGAUUUGAUUCGGUGCAAGUGUACACUUGAAAAUAAGUUUUGAUUUUGAUUCAAUGUACACUUGAAAAUAAGUUUUGAUUUUGAUUCAAUUUUCAUGUAAUAUUUAUGCGAUACCAGCAUGAAACUGUUUUAUGGUUAUUUAUGGAUUUAUUUUGUUUUUUUAAAAUGUGUUUUUCUUUCUGCAAGUUAAAAUUCAUAUAAUAAUGCUUUGUCUAAUGGAAUUUUAAUUUAAAACAAAAUAUUAAAAAUUAGAAAAUUUAGACAAUAUCAUAUUUUAAAUGCAAAAUUGGCCCUACUAUAAAUUGAGGUAUGAAUUUUUUUUUUUUUUUGGUUAAGGUAGUCACUAUCUCACCUACCCCGUGAUUGUAGUUAAGCUGUUUUUAAAUCCAUUGAAGCAUGUGAAGUCUUUCCUUUUAGUUUCAUGCAUCUGAAUCAAAAUCAAAGAUAUAUGUGUACAAUUGCAACAAUCCAAAGCCAUAUUAUUUAUAUUUGGGGCCCGGUGAGUGUCAUAUAUAGGUAUACAUGUGAUAUAUUUUAAAUCAUGUAUAAGAAGAGUCUUCGGAAGAUCAUAUAUCUACACCCGUAUCUUAAUAUAAGUUAGUAGCAGGGAUGGCCCCAAGAGGCAAGCAAGGCCCCCCAAAAUGGGAAAUUAUUUUAGUCCCUUGAAGUUUUUAAAAUUACAAGUUAGUUUAAUGGUAAAAGUACAUUUUACUCCCCUCCCAAAAGAUAAAAAAUUUUCAGUUUAAGUUCUUUAAAAUUCUAAAAUUACAAUCAUAUAUAAAGAUAAAAUUGUACUUUGACCCAUUAAAAAUUUAUAUUUUAAUUUUGACUCUCCCAAAGAUAAACUUCUGACUUCGUCCCUGAUCGGGAGCAAAGGAGGAGUCAAAGUAAUAUUUAAUUUAAGUUUUGGCAUUAUAUUACACGUUAGGUCAAAGUUCCAUGCUCGCCUUUUUGAGAUUUACUCCUAUUAUUUUCCAUUGAUUAGCUUUGCUAUAUAAACAAGUGGUUAUUUGGUAAAUGGAGAGAACAAUUUGUUGAAUUCAGGUGGAGAUUAGCCCUCUAUGGCAACAACAGAAGCUAAGAGAGUUCUGCAAAUCUAAAAAUAUUGUGUUAACUGCUUACUCUCCUUUGGGAGCUAAAGGGACUCGUCGGGGAACCAAUGAAGUUAUGGAUAAUGAAACACUGAAGGAGAUUGCUAAUGCCCAUAACAAGACUAUUGCUCAGGUUCUUGCUUCUUCUCCAACUAGCUUUCUACAAUGCUUUAACUCUGAUUUGUUAAUUUUUAUAUAAUUUCUUUUUUCAAAAAUAAAAAACAUUUAAUCUCUGAAUUUGAUGACAUUUUCAUAUUAGUCUCGGCAUUUGGAAGUUUUUCUCAAUUUAUUCCCCAAACUUGGAUUCUAUUAUGAUGACAUGGCACGUUGAGAUUGAGCCAUGUCAUCACUUAGAAUUUUUUAAAAUUUUAAAUAUUUUUUUAGAUUUCAUGUAAAAGAAUUUUAAAUUUUCGGGAUAUAAUGUGGCAUAAUCUCAAAGCGUCAUAUUAUCAAACUUUAAUGGAAUCCAAAUUUAAGGGCUAAAUUGAAAAAAGUUGCCAAGUUCUAAAUUGAAUGUGUACUAUAAAAAAGUUUAGGGAUCAAGUUUAAAAGAAAACAAAUUCAGAGACUAAAUGCUACUUCAUCCCAAGAAAAAACAAAACCAUUUGAAUGCAUUCGAGUCACAAGCAUUAUGAACUUGAAGAUUAAAGUUCCCUUUGUAACCUCGGGAACUUCUUCUUAGCAAGCUCGAUUGACUACUGAAAUAUCGUAUUUGAUUCUUUCUAAGCUUGUGAUUGAUUGACAACCACUUUCGUUUAUCCUUCACAUAAAUUCAGGUUCGAGUUUGGGUUGUCUUUUUUGAAAUUGUUUUUUGUUAGUAUACUUAGUUAUAGGACUAUCUUGCACUCUUCUCCAUAGUUAGGAUACAAGUAUUUCUUUACCAAUAGUCAACCUAUUUCAUUUCUCAAGUCAUAUGCAACUUCAAAGUGACUAUUUCAUUAUAUUCUAUAUAGAUCACCAUUCUAAUUUUAUACCAAAAUGAAAUGGUCGUAUAGUUUUAGAGAAGAGCCAUAAACUCCACAUCAGUCGUGUACUAGAGCUCGACUAAGAUCAUGGUAAUUGGCUCUUGGGUACUAGCGAUGUGCCAUUGAAGACAAUGAGCUCUUAUUAGAAUGGGGAGGAUUUUAUGAUCAUGAGAGGAGGCAUGAGUUUAACAAUGGCUAUGAAAUAACUUGGUGUUACAAGUUUAGAAAAGAGCCAUGAAUUUUACAUCAGCCAUUUACUAGAACUCGACUAGGAUCAGUAGCCUGCUAUUGGAUACUAGUAACGUGCUAUUAAAGACAAAGGUCUCUAGUUAGACUUGGGAGGAUUUCAGGGUCAUAGAGACGAGUCAUGAAUUUCGCGUUGAUUAUGUACUAGAGUUCCAAGUGGGUAUUUUAGUGUUAAGACGUUUUUCGACUUGCGAUUCGUUUUUGAUGACUAAAUUCGAAAAAUUCAAUGGAUCAAAGUAGACAAUACCUUGCUUGGGGUGGAUUGUGACCCAUGGUCUACAUGGACUGAAACAUUAAAUACUUUUCUUUUUCUUUUUUUGGAAAAUUGACAGGUUUGUCUAAGAUGGGCAUUUGAACAAGGGUUAAGUUUUGUGGUUAAGAGCUUCAACAAAGAAAGGAUGAGAGAGAACCUGCAGAUCUUUGAUUGGGGAUUAUCAUUAGAUGACCAUAAAAAAAUCAAUGAAAUAAAGCAGCGUAGGUUAUUGCCUAAACUUGCAAUGGUAUCACCUAAUGGACCAUUCAAGUCCCUUGAAGAACUAUGGGAUGGGGAGAUUUAAUCUCCAAAAUCCCUUUUGGUUUUUUGGAGUUGUAUUACAACUUCUCUAACUAAAAUCUACUUUAUUGUGUCAUAAUCUCGUUUUUAAGUAAUUUUGUAUCCAUGUAAACUUUGAUAUGUGUAGCCAAGUCUGUGUUGUAUUCGUGUUGCAUGCCUAUGUCAGUGUUUCAUAGAUAAAAAAAUUAAACUUUCUUUGUAUUUCUGAUAUGACAUAAACGUGAUUGCUAUUUUAAAAUUUUUAAAAAAAUAAUUUUUUUAAAUGUUGACGUGAUAAUCUAUGCAUAUGCCAUGUUAACAAAGUUAACAAAUAUUAAUUUUUCCAUCUAUUUUGGAAUGAUUUAAUAAAAAAUGCAAGUUAAAAAGUUAAAUAUGAAAAAAUAAAUGAAAAAUUAAAAUAAUUCUUCUGUAAAAUUGGAGAGUAAAACAAAUCUUUAUGCCUACAAAAAAAAACUACUUAUAUUUUAAUUAUAUUCAACAAUUCGAAUAACACUAACUAAAAUAAUUAUAGGUAUAUUAUUUCACAAGCUAAUUAAAAAUUUAAACAGGUAAAAUACUAAUUUUUAAAGGUAAAAAUGACAGAUCUACAUUAUAUAGGAGCAAAGGAAAACCGUUUCAUUUUUCUUCUAUAUUUCACCAAUAUUUUACACGACGUCGUACUGAUGCUUGAAGAUGUCUUUUGACAAAUGAAAUAUGCCAAAGAUCAAUAAAUAAAGGCACAAGUAUUUUGUUAAAUUUACCUGCUUUUUUUCUUUCAGACAAAACUGCUAGCAUUGCUGGCUGGUCCUGGUAUUGGCUCUGAUCAGACAAUACCCUCAACCGUACUCCUUUUUCAAGGUUAAGAACUUUAAUCGGUUACUCUUUUGCCUUGUAGCUUUCAGAUACUAAAAGCAUCUUCAUUUGUUAAAUACAGUUUCAUUUCGAUGAAGCUCAACGAGAAUAAACAAGUAACGAGAAGAAAAAAGUGGCUAUCAAGCUUUACACAUGCAAGGAGUUAAGGGGUUCUCCCAAAGGUCGUAAUAGGGAAGGUUUCUUCUGGUAAUCCAGUUCGGGUUUGGUGGGUAACGACUACAUCUUCUACGAAUGUAGCCCAUCCCAUAUAAGGAUCCCCAAAAGAUUUAGACAUAAGUCCUUUGUCAGGUUUUAUUGAUUUUUGACGAUGACCCAUGUACCUUCUAGCACCAAUAAUCAAUUUAGCAAAGUUACCUCCGUGGGUCAUUACGAACACAUUAGAUUUCGGGCAGACCAAGAAGUCGAGUGCAGCUAAGCUUGUUACAUGUUUCCGGAAACCAGCCAACUCCUCCUUACUUGCUAACUCUUCCUUGGUAACCUGUUACAAAAGCCUUAUGAUAAGCAUCUUUACUACGUAAAAUAGUCCUACCAGUAAUCCGGUUCCCGAAUAUUUCCUUCUCAUCACCUUGUUCUCGAUUUAUUAUUUUCCCAGUCUGUUUAGCCAUAUAGGCCAUGUAAUGUGAUUUCUGUUGUAAGUUUUGUACCAUCUUCAUCUUUUUUCAGUUGCCCCACCCAGUAGCUUAGCUUUAUGUAAUUUCUCUCUUUGGUGUAUAAAAGAGACUUUUUCCUUUUAAUGCUAAAACCUAACCUUGCUGUUA
rnacentral:lncRNA from 1 species